rnacentral:rRNA from 1 species
UUGACGGUACCUAAUCAGAAAGCCCCGGCUAACUACGUGCCAGCAGCCGCGGUAAUACGUAGGUGGCAAGCGUUAUCCGGAAUUAUUGGGCGUAAAGCGCGCGUAGGCGGUCUUUUAAGUCUGAUGUGAAAGCCCACGGCUCAACCGUGGAGGGUCAUUGGAAACUGGAAAACUUGAGUGCAGAAGAGGAAAGUGGAAUUCCAUGUGUAGCGGUGAAAUGCGCAGAGAUAUGGAGGAACACCAGUGGCGAAGGCGACUUUCUGGUCUGUAACUGACGCUGAUGUGCGAAAGCGUGGGGAUCAAACAGGAUUAGAUACCCUGGUAGUCCACGCCGUAAACGAUGAGUGCUAAGUGUUAGGGGGUUUCCGCCCCUUAGUGCUGCAGCUAA